rnacentral:rRNA from 1 species
AUUGAACGCUGGCGGCAUGCCUUACACACGCAAGUCGAACGGUAACGGGUCCUUCGGGAUGCCGACGAGUGGCGAACGGGUGAGUAAUAUAUCGGAACGUGCCCAGUAGUGGGGGAUAACUGCUCGAAAGCGCAGCUAAUACCGCAUACGACCUGAGGGUGAAAGGGGGGGAUCGCAAGACCUCUCGCUAUUGGAGCGGCCGAUAUCAGAUUAGCUAGUUGGUGGGGUAAAGGCCUACCAAGGCAACGAUCUGUAGUUGGUCUGAGAGGACGACCAGCCACACUGGGACUGAGACACGGCCCAGACUCCUACGGGAGGCAGCAGUGGGGAAUUUUGGACAAUGGGCGCAAGCCUGAUCCAGCAAUGCCGCGUGCAGGAAGAAGGCCUUCGGGUUGUAAACUGCUUUUGUCAGGGAAGAAAUCUUCUGGGCUAAUACCCCGGGAGGAUGACGGUACCUGAAGAAUAAGCACCGGCUAACUACGUGCCAGCAGCCGCCGUAA